rnacentral:rRNA from 1 species
AGGAUGAACGCUAGCGGCAGGCCUAAUACAUGCAAGUCGAACGGUAAGUAGUGUAGCAAUACAUUGCCUAGAGUGACGUACGGGUGCGUAACACGUAUGCAACCUACCCUUUACAGGCGGAUAGCUCGGGGAAACCCGAAUUAACCCGCCGUAGUAUAAUUGAAUGGCAUCAUUUUGAUUAUUAAAACUCCGGUGGUAAAGGAUGGGCAUGCGUCUGAUUAGUUAGUUGGUAGUGUAACGGACUACCAAGACGAUGAUCAGUAGGGGAACUGAGAGGUUGAUCCCCCACACUGGCACUGAGAUACGGGCCAGACUCCUACGGGAGCAGCAGUAGGGAAUAUUGG